UGGGGUGUUGUCGGGCAGCUGUGCUGGACUUUAUCUAUUAAACAGCAGCAUCGCGGUUUUUUCCUUUUUUGCGCCUCCUAAAAUCCUCACAGCACUUGAGACAGCUGUUCCAUGUACGUGCCUCGGCAGAAAAUAGAAGCAGGCCAAUAGAAAAUAUUUUAAAGUUUAUCCUGGAAGAUGAGCUUCAUCAAAUAGAUGCAUAAUCUGUAGAAAAGAGAAUGCCUUUUGCUAGACAUCUGAACGAAAUCCAGAGGAUCAUCUCUACACAAUGACUCUCAGAUGCACAGGAAAAUCCUCCACCUCUUCUUUUAGCACCUGUUAAAAGAUUUGGACUUCUGGGAUGUUCUUGACAUCAACCUGCAAAAUGGCCACAGCUUGGAGGGACACCUGCCCUUUAGCCACCAGCCAUUCCUGUUAAACCAGUGCAGCAGCAACGGGGAGCUUUAGCUAAGAAGACACUGACAGCAUUGAGAAUAGUGGAAGUCCUGUAACCAACAUCACACCCUCUGUCACCUGCAAGAAAUGAAAAAUUUAAGAAGGCUUUUCCUUUAAAACAAAUGCUCAUGAAUGUCACUGCUGCACCUUUGUGAUUUUAAAUUCAAGUUGUAAACAGUCACAGAAUAAAGUUGUGUAUUUUACACAGUU